rnacentral:rRNA from 1 species
AGCGAACGCUGGCGGCAGGCCUAACACAUGCAAGUCGAACGAACCUUUCGGGGUUAGUGGCGGACGGGUGAGUAACACGUGGGAACGUGCCUUUAGGUUCGGAAUAACUCAGGGAAACUUGUGCUAAUACCGAAUGUGCCCUUCGGGGGAAAGAUUAAUCGCCUUUAGAGCGGCCCGCGUCUGAUUAGCUAGUUGGUUGAGGUAAUGGCUCACCAAGGCGACGAUCAGUAGCUGGUCUGAGAGGAUGAUCAGCCACAUUGGGACUGAGACACGGCCCAAACUCCUACGGGAGGCAGCAGUGGGGAAUCGUGCGAAAUGGGCGAAAGCCUGACGCAGCCAUGCCGCGUGAAUGAUGAAGGUCUUAGGAUUGUAAAAUUCUUUCAACGGGGACGAUAAUGACGGUACCCGGAGAAGAAGCCCCGGCUAACUUCGUG